rnacentral:rRNA from 1 species
CCUACGGGGGGCAGCAGUGAGGAAUAUUGGUCAAUGGCCGGAAGGCUGAACCAGCCAAGUCGCGUGAGGGAAUAAGGCCCUAUGGGUCGUAAACCUCUUUUGUCAGGGAGCAAAGGCGCCCACGUGUGGACGAGAGGAGAGUACCUGAAGAAAAAGCAUCGGCUAACUCCGUGCCAGCAGCCGCGGUAAUACGGAGGAUGCGAGCGUUAUCCGGAUUUAUUGGGUUUAAAGGGUGCGUAGGCGGAUUAGUAAGUCAGCGGUAAAAAUGCGGUGCUCAACGCCGUAUCGCCGUUGAAACUGCGGGG